UCAGCAAUGAAGGCAUGCUUGGGGAAGAGUAAAAGUGCCAAAUGAGACUUCCUCAGAACACUCUCAACAUCUAGAGACUUGCAUUUCAGCAUCUUCUGGAGCCAGAGACUACUGAGGAAAGUGGAAUCUUCAGCAGAGUUGGAAGAAAUCAAACCAGUUUACUUGACUUCUUUACUAAAUUUGAAAGCACUUGACUGAAAAUAACCAUGACCAGGAUUGCAUGCUGCCCUCUGGAAUGAUCUUGUGAAACACCGCAACCAGCACUGUGCUAAUAUAGGCUGGAAGUUUAUGGAGCAAGUCCACCAUUUCUUGCUCAAGCAUAGAAAAGGGGGUGGAAGAAGAUGAAACUAGCCUUGACUCCUUCCAACAUGAUCUCUUGUUUCUUCUUUCCUCCCCACAAUGCAUUGCUGUGCAUUGUGGAUUGCAGUUGGAACAGAGCAAGGCAGAUGAGUGCCAAUAUUUGCUGCCUGAAAUCACCCAGCAACAGAAGGGUACCGCCUUCCAGUGACUACAGAGAUACUGUAUGGCAUAAGGAGGGACCGCUGUUUCGAAAGAAAAAUCUUCCACCAUUUCUUCUAAAGCAGACAUAAGGAUGGCUGGUUUGCUAUGGUAGGGGUGUUAAAGGAUGACCUGGAAACUGGGCCUGAAUUCAUUCAUUUAAAAAACUCACAUCCAAACAAGUGAUGUUAAUACAUUAAAACAAUGCAUUAAGUACCUAGAAAGAAGGAAAACCCAUCUAAAUAAACAUUUUGCUUCACUGGAAAUUAUUAAUUACCAUGAGUGGAACUCAUUUUGAUGUAAGCAGUAUUUGGCAACUUGGAGUCCCCUCAGCACUGGUGUUGCAGACACAACGCACCUGCAGCUCCUCAGAGCAGCUGCCGUGACCUCCAGGCACACUCACGUCCUCUGAGAUUGCAGUUGGCUACUUUGAAAGUGGAGAAGCCUCACCCUGUUUUUUUUUUUUUUUUGCUCACGCCUUCAGCUCUGCUGUCCUUCCCUGGAGGAAUGUAGGGACAUUUGCGGUACAAGCCGGACAUCUUGCAUAGCUAUAAUUAUUUGUUAAUAGUGAUCAUAAAAAAAAGUGAGUAUGUACUUCUCUCUCUUUCUCCCACUUUUAUGUUGGCCUUUUGACAUGUUUUACAAACACGAAGGAAUGAGGUUUCACAAGAGCUCUGGGAGGUAGGGAGCGGACCCCUACAAAGGAGCCCUCAUGCUACAAGACACCAGCCAGGAAAGGUGUCAGAAUGGAGGUUUGUUUCUGGGGAAGAGUAAUCAUUGUUUUGGGAAACCUGACAACUGUGCCGGAGGAAAGAGGCUGAUGGUGCACGGACGUGUGUGGGCAAGCUCCUUGCUGACAGGGGAGAGCUUCCACUGUCGGCACCCGAUUCCAACCAUCAAUCACGCUGAGGCCAUAUGUAUACAGCAAGCACUCUGCGACCAGACAGAGGCGGCACAUGAUGCAAUGGGCACAGGUGUGCAGCAGACACCAGAGAAAGGCAGCAGGGCUUUGCAUACAUAAAACGUCUUUCCUCUGAAGUUCUCAAGGCGAUUUGCAAGCAUUAAUUAAUUCUCACAACGCCCAGGGAUGGUAGGCAAGGCAGUGUCACUGGCAAAUUAAUUUCAUAGGUAGUGUCUUUGAUAUCACACGCUCAUGUGCUCACUGCACAGGAUUUGAUGUAUUAUAUUAUUUCCCCAACACACCUGCUGCCCUUCAGCUCUUCCA